GGCUGCGUAUUGGUAGCAGUAUUGCUGUUUCUGGCUGCUGGCACUUCAUGAUUGUGUUUCCCCUCAUAUGUUGUAAUUACAUAUUUCAGAUUGUGGGAGGCCCUCUCCACAUGUUUCCUCACUGAACAUCCAGCAGUUGUACAUUUGUAAUAGCUCCUAGGAUUUGGAUUCCCCUUUACAACUUUUUGACCAUACUUCCUCCAGCGGUACCCAUCAUCAAGUAUGUCAAUUUCACUUUCUAUUUGGACAACUACUCU
rnacentral:misc_RNA from 1 species